CCCUUAGAUGUUCUGGGCAGCACGCGCGCUACACUGAUGUGUCCAGUAAGCACCUAACCUCUUCCGAAAGGAACGGGUAACCUUUGCAAAGCACAUCGUGAUGGGGAUAGAUUAUUGCAAUUAUUAGUCUUGAACGAGGAAUUCCUAGUAAGCACAAGUCAUCAGCUUGUGUUGAUUACGUCCCUGCCCUUUGUACACACCGCCCGUCGCUCCUACCGAUUGAAUGUUCCGGUGAGCUCUUCGGACUGCGCGGUCUGCAGUUUCUGCGUUCCGUGCGGAAAGUUGCGCAAACCUUAACAUUUAGAGGAAGGAGAAGUCGUAACA
rnacentral:rRNA from 1 species